CUCUCUCCACUCGACCACUCCACAGCGCCAAAACUCCUCCUCCCACCCUCCUCUUUGCAUCUGACUCACCGGACAGCACCGUCAAGGCGGCCCUUCCGCAUCGUGCUCCCUCUUCUCGGUGCGGUCUUUUCUCUGCCUCCCUUCCUCGUCGCGCUUCCUUCUCGUCGUCGGACACUAACCCUCAGUUAGAGAGCGAGCCCAGACCCAGGUUGCUGAUUGCAGCGUCGUAAUCGUCCUCCACUACUCUGCCAUACGUCUCAGUCCAGUCCAAGAGUGUCGUCGUCCUUCUCAGUCUAGUCUCAUCCCCUCCGUAGCAGUCGCCGACCCACCGUGUCUCACUGUCCAACAUCUCCGUCUUCUUUAGUGAAGCGUUUGCCAACAGAAGCAAUUUGAUGAAAGAUGAAACAAUAACAUGGUCAUCAUCUUUGCCUUAAAGGUCCCCAAGAAAAAGAUGUGGUCUUACUCUCUCACGAUUGAAAUGCAGGCCAAGCUGGAAUGGUUUUGCAGGUGUCUAUCUCACAAUUUAUAAGCUUUCAUUACCAUCAAUAUCAUAAAGAAUACAUGAGCCCACUUACUUAUAAAAUAUUCCUUAUUGAUAUUGCAAGUGUCUAUUUCAGAAUUUAUUUAAUGUUUAGUGUCUAACUAUAUAUAUGGAAUAUAAAAACAGAAUGAUUGUCACACAUGAAUGAUAGAGUAUUUUAGAUUGAUCGAAAAUAUAUGUUCAGCUCUAAUUAUGUAUAUAUGGAUUAAAAUAUUAUUAGAAAUAAUUAAUAUCAAAGUAAGUUACAUAUGUUUUUGCAAGUUAUCCUUGUAAGUAUUGAGUAUUUAUUGUUGAUUUUUUGGAAAUGUUAUUGAUUAUUUGUUGAACCUAUUUUAUUUUGUUGUUCUACUGCUUCUGUUAAAUUUUUAUAUGAUUCUUUGUUUCCAAUUUUGAUUUUUAAUUCAU